GAUGAAGAACGUAGCGAAAUGCGAUACUUGGUGUGAAUUGCAGAAUCCCGUGAACCAUCGAGUCUUUGAACGCAAGUUGCGCCCGAAGCCAUUAGGCCGAGGGCACGCCUGCCUGGGCGUCACACGUCGUUGCCCCCCCAUCUACUCCUUCGGGAUUGCGGGGGGCGGAUGAUGGCCUCCCGUGCGCCUCGCCGCGCGGUUGGCAUAAAUGCCAAGUCCUCGGCGACGCACGCCACGACAAUCGGUGGUGGCGAAACCUCGGUUGCCCGUCGUGUGCGGUCGUCGCGCAUCGAGGGCUCGAAAAAAUUGCCGGGUUCCGGCUCGGCUUUCAACGCGACCCCAGGUCAGGCGGGGUUACCCGCUGAAUUUAAGCAUAUCAUAAGCGGAGGA
rnacentral:misc_RNA from 1 species